rnacentral:rRNA from 1 species
GUGCGAACGUUGCUCGGAAUCACUGGGCUUAAAGGGCUCGUAGGCGGUUAUGUAAGUUAGGUGUGAGAUCCCCGGGCUUAACCCGGGACGUGCACUUAAAACUGUGUAACUGGAGUACAGGAGAGGAUAGCGGAAUUCCCGGUGUAGAGGUGAAAUUCGUAGAUAUCGGGAAGAACACCAGAGGCGAAGGCGGCUAUCUGGACUGUAACUGACGCUGAUGAGCGAAAGCGUGGGUAGCGAACAGGAUUAGAUACCCUGGUAGUCCACGCUGUAAACGAUGAGCGCUAGACGUCGGGUGUAUUAACACAUUCGGUGUCGCAGUUAACGCGCUAAGCACUCCGCCUGGGGAGUACGGCCGCAAGGCUAAAACUCAAAGGAAUUGACGGGGGCCCGCACAAGCGGUGGAGCAUGUGGUUUAAUUCGAUGCAACGCGAAGAACCUUACCUGGGUUGGAACCCCCUGGAAUUCAUCAGAGAAGGUGAAGUGCCUUAUUUUAAGGAGCCGGGUGUUCAGGUGCUGCAUGGCUGUCGUCAGCUCGUGUCGUGAGAUGUUGGGUUAAGUCCCGCAACGAGCGCAACCCUUGUUGCUAGUUACUAACAGGUAAAGCUGAGGACUCUAGCGAGACUGCCGGUGGUAAACCGGAGGAAGGUGGGGAUGACGUCAAGUCCUCAUGGCCUUUAUGUCCAGGGCUACACACGUGCUACAAUGGCUGAUACAGAGGGCAGCGAUCCCGUGAGGGUUAGCAAAUCCUUUAAAGUCAGCCCUAGUUCGGAUUGCAGUCUGCAACUCGACUGCAUGAAGCUGGAAUCGCUAGUAAUCGCGGAUCAGCAUGCCGCGGUGAUACGUUCCCGGGCAUUGUACACACCGCCCGUCACACCAUGGAAGUUGGGUGCUCCAGAAGUGGCUGUCCUAACCAAUUUGGAUGGAGUCCCCAAGGAGUGUCUGAUGACUGG